GGGAGUUUGGUCUAGUGGUAUGAUUCUCGUUUUGGGUGCGAGAGGUCGCGAGUUCGAUACUCGCAACUCCCC
rnacentral:tRNA from 1 species